rnacentral:rRNA from 1 species
CCUACGGGAGACAGCAGUGGGGAAUAUUGCACAAUGAGGGAAACCUUGAUGCAGCGACACCGCGUGAGUGAUGAAGUAUUUCGGUAUGUAAAGCUCUAUCAUCAGGGAAGAAAAUUACGGUACCUGACUAAUUAGCCCCUGCUAACGACUUGCCAGCAGCCGCUGUCAUACUUUGGGGGCAAGCAUUCGCCGGUUUUUCUGUGUGUAACGGUAGCGUAGAUGGUCAGACAAGUCAGAAGUGAAAGCCCAGGGCUCAACCCUGGGACUGCUUUUGAAACUGCCGGGCUAGAGUGCAGUAGAGGUAAGCGGAAUUCCUAGUGUAGCGGUGAAAUGCGUAGAUAUUAGGAGGAACACCAGUGGCGAAGGCGGCUUACUGGACUGUAACUGACGUUGAGGCUCGAAAGCGUGGGGAGCAAACAGGAUUAGAUACCCCAGUAGUC